CCUACGGGGAGUGCAGUGGGGAAUAUUGGACAAUGGGCGAAAGCCUGAUCCAGCCAUGCCGCGUGUGUGAAGAAGGCCUUCGGGUUGUAAAGCACUUUCAGUGGGGAAGAAAGCCUUGGGGCUAAUACCCUCGAGGAAGGACAUCACCCACAGAAGAAGCACCGGCUAACUCCGUGCCAGCAGCCGCGGUAAUACGGAGGGUGCGAGCGUUAAUCGGAAUUACUGGGCGUAAAGCGCGCGUAGGCGGUCUGAUAAGCCGGUUGUGAAAGCCCCGGGCUCAACCUGGGAACGGCAUCCGGAACUGUCAGGCUAGAGUGCAGGAGAGGAAGGUAGAAUUCCCGGUGUAGCGGUGAAAUGCGUAGAGAUCGGGAGGAAUACCAGUGGCGAAGGCGGCCUUCUGGACUGACACUGACGCUGAGGUGCGAAAGCGUGGGUAGCAAACAGGAUUAGAUACCCCUGUAGUC
rnacentral:rRNA from 1 species